rnacentral:rRNA from 1 species
UACGAAGGGGGCUAGCGUUGCUCGGAAUUACUGGGCGUAAAGGGCGCGUAGGCGGAUCGUUAAGUCAGGGGUGAAAUCCCGGGGCUCAACCCCGGAAUUGCCUUUGAUACUGGCGAUCUUGAGUAUGAGAGAGGUAUGUGGAACUCCGAGUGUAGAGGUGAAAUUCGUAGAUAUUCGGAAGAACACCAGUGGCGAAGGCGACAUACUGGCUCAUUACUGACGCUGAGGCGCGAAAGCGUGGGGAGCAAACAGGAUUAGAUACCCCCCGUAGUCCCU